CAGAUUGUAGGAGAGGGGAUUCUUGCUGCAAUUCUGGUUUUUGUGUGCAGCUAAAUUUGGUUUUGGGUUAGAGAGGAGAUUUAUAUUUUUGCGUGGUGCUUCUAUAAAUUCCUUGUUGUAAAAACCGCAACCAUUAUAAUGCAUUUGCUUCCAAGGUUGGAAGGAUACUGGAUGUAGGCAUUGUUGGCCGAACCAGUAUAAAAAUCAGUGUUUGAUUUUUCUAUUCCUGCACUCUUUUAAUUCAGUCGACUAUAUUUGUCUAGC
rnacentral:lncRNA from 1 species